ACACUACUUAAUUUAACACUAAUUAGACUAUAAAUAACUAACCAAACCCUAAAAUCUACAAAAUUCGUCCGCCUCCCAUCUUUUUCUCUCUCUCUUGAAUGUUCUCCCCUCUCCGGCGAACAGCACCGCCGGUUCCUCCCUCAAAUCUCCGGCGAAACAACGGUAGGCGAGCCCACCAUCGGACUCUCGAUAGGGUCGUCGCCCUUGCUGCCGCCAACCAGAGCUCGGCAAGAAACAUGUAAAGCUCCAUCUUCCCAUGGUUAGCCCACAACCACAUCUUUCCAUUUCUCAAACUCGCCAAGAAACUCCAUUGAAGCAGUCGAGCUCCAUCUCCACCCAAACCCCAACCUCCCUCCUCACCUCCAGCUUCUCUCGCAUCCUCGCCGCUCUCCUUCUCGACCUCAUUAGAGAAAAUCAGCCAUGGCUUCGUCGCCUCUCUCUCGUCUACGGCGACUGCAGCAAAGCCACAACCGCGAUUGAAAGUGGAAAAUGG
rnacentral:lncRNA from 1 species